rnacentral:rRNA from 1 species
GACGAACGCUGGCGGCGUGCUUAACACAUGCAAGUCGAACGGAAGGGCCCUGCUUUUGUGGGGUGCUCGAGUGGCGAACGGGUGAGUAACACGUGAGUAACCUGCCCUUGACUUUGGGAUAACUUCAGGAAACUGGGGCUAAUACCGGAUAGGAGCUCCUGCUGCAUGGUGGGGGUUGGAAAGUUUCGGCGGUUGGGGAUGGACUCGCGGCUUACCAGCUUGUUGGUGGGGUAGUGGCUUACCAAGGCUUUGACGGGUAGCCGGCCUGAGAGGGUGACCGGCCACAUUGGGACUGAGAUACGGCCCAGACUCCUACGGGAGGCAGCAGUGGGGAAUAUUGCACAAUGGGCGGAAGCCUGAUGCAGCAACGCCGCGUGCGGGAUGACGGCCUUCGGGUUGUAAACCGCUUUCGCCUGUGACGAAGCGUGAGUGACGGUAAUGGGUAAAGAAGCACCGGCUAACUACGUG